ensembl:snRNA U1 U1 spliceosomal RNA
AUACUUACCUGGCAGAGGAGAUACCACGAUCACCAAGGUGGUUUUCCCAGAGCGAGGCUUAUCCAUUGCACUCCGGAUGUGCUGACCCCUGCGAUUUCCCCAAAUGUGGGAAACUCGACUGCAUAAUUUGUGGUAGUGGGGGACUAUGUUCGCGCUUUCCCCUG